rnacentral:rRNA from 1 species
CGGCGUGCCUAAUACAUGCAAGUCGAGCGAAUGGAUUAAGAGCUUGCUCUUAUGAAGUUGGCGGCGGACGGGUGAGUAACACGUGGGUAACCUGCCCAUAAGACUGGGAUAACUCCGGGAAACCGGGGCUAAUACCGGAUAAUAUUUUGAACCGCAUGGUUCGAAAUUGAAAGGCGCUUCGGCUGUCACUUAUGGAUGGACCCGCGUCGCAUUAGCUAGUUGGUGAGGUAACGGCUCACCAAGGCAACGAUGCGUAGCCCACCGGAAAGGGUGAUCGGCCACACUGCCACUGAGACGCGGCCCAGACUCCUUCUGGAGGCAGCAGUAAGGAAUCUUCCGCAAUGGACGAAAGUCUGACGGAGCAACGCCGCGUGAAUGAUGAAGGCUUUCGGGUCGAAAAACUCUGUUGUUAGGGAAGAACAAGUGCUAGUUGAAUAAGCUGGCACCUUGACGGUACCUAACCAGAACGCCACGGCUAACUACGUGCCAGCAGCCGCGGUAAUACGUAGGUGGCAAGCGUUAUCCGGAAUUAUUGGGCGUAAAGCGCGCGCAGGUGGUUUCUUAAGUCUGAUGUGAAAGCCCACGGCUCAACCGUGGAGGGUCAUUGGAAACUGGGAUACUUGAGUGCAGAAGAGGAAAGUGUAAUUCCAUGUGUAGCGGUAAAAUGCGUAGAGAUAUGGAGGAACACCAGUGGCGAAGGCGACUUUCUGGUCUGUAACUGACACUGAGGCGCGAAAGCGUGCGGAGCAUACACGAUUAGAUACCCUGGUAGUCCACGCCGUAAACGAUGAGUGCUAAGUGUUAGAGGGUUUCCGCCCUUUAGUGCUGAAGUUAACGCAUUAAGCACUCCGCCUGGGGAGUACGGCCGCAAGGCUGAAACUCAAAGGAAUUGACGGGGGCCCGCACAAGCGGUGGAGCAUGUGGUUUAAUUCGAAGCAACGCGAAGAACCUUACCAGGUCUUGACAUCCUCUGACAACCCUAGAGAUAGGGCUUCUCCUUCGGGAGCAGAGUGACAGGUGGUGCAUGGUUGUC